GGUACAGCCGCGCGCGGAGAAGCCGCUCCCGCCGUCCCGGAGGUCUGAGCGAGCGCAGUAGCCCCAAAAGAUGUUGCUGGACUGACUUCUGUUCCUGCUGGACAAGGCACUGAGAGGAUGCCAGAGAGAGGGAGACUCGUUCGCUGUGCUGUUCAGUAACAGCCUCUACUCUUCUGGGAAGGCUUCACACUGUAGACGUUGGUCUGUUGUUGUGAGGUUUUGACUGCCUUCAACUGCAAGAGCUGAGAUCAGGUGCUGCUACAGCCCACCAGUGGGAGACGGGUGCAGUAUCUCCGAGUCCUGAUCACACCCUGGCGGAGCACAGAAGGGGCAUUUAAAUGCAGACUUCCAAAGGACGGUGCUGUAAAUUUCCUCUGCCGGGCGCUGAUAAGGUCAACUGUCAUUCUUGGGGCAACGCGAGGAGGAGUGUAUGAAAAUGGGACGCUUCAUAUGGGCUCUUUAAGCUGUCAUCAAGGUGCUUGUCAUGCACGCCAUUACAUGGGGUUGGGCUGGGCCUAUAACAAGCUCCCCAGGAUAUGAAAGAUAUGCGCA
ensembl:lncRNA